CUGUAACACGAGCAUUUGUGGGAAGAGAGAAACCCAUAAAGUUGUUAUUGCCAGUAAGGAAUCCAGAACCAGAGUGCUGAGCUACAAGGGGCCAGCCAGGGUCUCCACCUCCCAUGGUCACGGGAGCCGAGCAGGGCCUGGAAGUUUCUGGAAGUUUCUGGAAGUUUCUGGAUGGCGGAGCACCUGAAGGUCCCCAGCCCUCCCCACAGCCCUCGCCCCGGCGUCUCCCCCAUCGGGACAUCCAGCGACAUCUGUGGAAAUGUACGGUGCUGCCCUCCAUCCUGUGAGCUGCCUUCGCAGAUGCAUGCGGCGUGAGGACGCAGAUGCACAGGUCCCAGGCGGGGACCUGCGGGGACACUGCGCACACGAGCCCCCAGCCGGGGGGCGUGACCGUGUCUGCGCCCAGUGGAUCCGCCGGGGGUGGCUGCAGGCGGCAGCUGGUGGGAAAAUCCCCGCGCGGCGGUGACGCGGAAGUGGGCGUGGAUCACGCGCACGAGAAGGGUUUGGUGGUCCCCGUCCCAACUCCGGGGGCUUCGGGUGUGGCGGGAAGAGGGCCAGGCUGCUGAGGACAAAGGAACCUCGGGCUUCCUGUACGACACGGCGUGAGCAGAUGGGAGGGGAGGGGAGAGGGCAGGACGGCAGGGCCCGCGGACACCUGUCCCCGUCUCUGGUGGCAGCGGCACGGCGCAGAGCAGCUGGGGGCGGGGAUCUCAGAGUGCCGUCCAGAUGCAGCGUUAGCUACAGCCCUACGAGGGGGCGUCCCGGUCCUGGCCGUCCUGCGGGCCACCUUGGAGCUCCUCAUAGAACAGAGCGAGUUCCCUGGAUUUUCUGUGAGACAAAAGAAGCCCCAGCCACCCAGCCAUGUGACACACACCUGUCAUCCCAGUGCUCUGGGAGGCUGAGACAGGAGGGUGGCAAGUUGGAGCUCAGCUUGG